rnacentral:lncRNA from 13 species
AUGCCUCGCUGUAUGUCUCUCUCAUAUGUCAAUAUGCCUUGUAUACUGUUGUUUAGGUUAGUUAUCAUUGUUUUAGUUUACAAUGGAGCCCCUAGUUCCACUCAUUAUACCUCCUUUGUCCCACCUCCCACACAUGUGGUGACCUCACCCAUUAUAACCAGCUUAUCCAGAGAUACAACCUCUCUUAAUAUCACUCAGUGCCUGGGCUUACCCCCGCUGUACCUGCACCCCACCAUACCCCUGUCUGCACAUUAUGCCCUGAAUUUAUUCUACCACGCCCAGAAAUCUGCUCCUUUUAUUCUUUGUCCGAAACGCUCUAGGCGACCAGUUUUGAUAGCCUUUAGCCAUACCCUCAUCCUACUCUUCCUCUGUUCCUCGGGUGAUGUGGAGAUAAACCCAGGCCCCGCGUGUCCCCAGGCACCCUCAUUUGUUGACUUCUGUGAUCGAAAAAACCUUGGUUUCAUGCAUGUCAACAUCAGAAGCCUCCUCUCUAAGUUUGUUUUACUCACUGCUUUAGCACACUCCGCCAACCCUGAAGUCCUUGCCGUGUCUGAAUCCUGGCUUAGGAAGGCCAGCAACAAUUCUGAGAUUUCCAUACCCAGCUACAACAUUUUCCGUCAAGAUAGAACUGCCAAAGGUAGAGGAGUUGCAAUCUACUGCAGAGAGAGCCUGCACAUUUCUGUCAUACUUUCCAGGUCUAUACCCAAACAGUUUGAACUUCUAAUUUUAAAAAUUAACCUCUCCAGAAAUAAGUCUCUCACUGUUGCCGCCUGCUAUCGACCCCCCUCCGCUGCCAGCUGUGUCCUGGACACCAUUUGUGAAUUGAUCGCCCCCUAUCUAGCUUCAGAAUUCAUUCUGUUAGGUGACCUAAACUGGGAUAUGGUUAACACCCCGGCAGUCCUACAAUCUAAGCUAGAUGCCCUCAAUCUAACACAAAUCAUCAAGCAACCCACCAGGUACAACCCUAAAUCCGUAAACAUGGGCACCCUCAUAGACAUUAUCCUGACCAACUUGCCCUCCAAAUACACCUCCGCUGUUUUCAAUCAGGAUCUCAGCGAUCACUGCCUCAUUGCCUGUAUCCGCUAUGGGUCCGCGGUCAAAAGACCACCCCUCAUCACUGUCAAACACUCCCUGAAACACUUCUGCGAGCAGGCCUUUCUAAUCAACCCGGCCCGGGUAUCCUGGAAGGAUAUUGACCUCAUCCCGCCAGUCGAGGAUGCCUUGUCAUUCUUUAAAAGUAAUUUCCUCACCAUCUUAGAUAAGCAUGCCCCAUUCAAAAAAUGCAGAACUAAGAACAGAUACAGUAUAGCCCUUGGUUCACUCCAGACCUGA